GAUGAACGCUAGCUGGAGGCUUAAUACAUGCAAGUCGAACGGGAUUGGGUAGCAAUACCCAUGAGAGCGGCGCACGGGUGAGUAACGCGUACACGACCUACCUCUAACAGGGGGAUAGCCCUGGGAAACUGGGAUUAAUACCGCAUAUAAUUCUGAAUAAUAAAGGUUUGGAAUGAAAGCUGAGGCGGUUAGAGAUGGGUGUGCGUCUGAUUAGCUAGUUGGUAGGGUAACGGCCUACCAAGGCGAUGAUCAGUAGGGGGCGUGAGAGCGUGGUCCCCCACACGGGUACUGAGACACGGACCCGACUCCUACGGGAGGCAGCAGUAAGGAAUAUUGGUCAAUGGGCGAAAGCCUGAACCAGCCAUCCAGCGUGCAGGAAGAAGGCCCUAUGGGUUGUAAACUGCUUUUAUCAGGGAAGAAACCUCUGGAUUUACUCCGGAGCUGACGGUACCUGAAGAAUAAGCACCGGCUAACUCCGUGCCAGCAGCCGCAGUAAGAC
rnacentral:rRNA from 1 species